rnacentral:rRNA from 1 species
AUGGGUUUACCUGGACCAAUACAUGAGAUUCUUAUGCUAUUUGGGGGAUUUGUUCUUCUACUAGAGGGUCUAGGAGUAGUAUUAUUUACCAACUCCAUUUAUUCUGCCUUUUCGCUGGGAUUAGAUCUUGUUUGUAUAUCCUUAUUCUAUUUUUAUUAA